rnacentral:sRNA from 1 species
UGUUUCGCUAAAUUAAAAUAGCAGAAUGGAAAAGCAACCUCGGCCGCACUGCAGCUUCCGUCUCGCCACCGAUAAAAUGGUAACGCCCCAAAGAUAAAACACUCCAAAGAGAAACUUGAAGACGCUGAAAGACCUGACAGAUGGGAGUAGAAAUGAGGUUUGUAGUUAAAUAACAUUCCAAGGUCAACAGGCCACAAAAGAGUCCCAGAGUCGUAAGCUGCUUAUGAGAGACAUGAAUAAGACAGCUGGAGAUGGAGACGCAGUGCUUGUGGCUGAUUGCGACUGGAGGGAUAAUGUGGCUUAGGGCACAGCGACUACAAGCUUAUUGGUAUUGCAUCUCAGAAGGGGGCACACUCAUCCUUCCAUCCUGGCCAGAUGGACACGGGCCUCUUGCUGCAGCGACCGGCUUAUACCAUGUGGAAGGGAUAACAUGACUCUGGGCUUUGCUGUAGUCAUGUGUUAAACACGCAGGCAAGGUCAGGCUACACAGACCUUGAACAGAAGUGAACAGGCCAAGAACAUUAUAUUGAAGUUCCCAGAUAAAAGAGACAGCCAGGACCAGGAAUAAAUGUCCCCUCCUUAUAGGGCCAACAGAUUUUAUCCAGCUGAUGGGGUUUUUACAUCUGGGGCGUGCUUUCGCUAUUUCGACGUCGUUUAACAGGGAGCGUUUGAGUUCUGGCAUCCCUUGUCUGGAACCCGGAAGCGAAACUAAGCUCGCCCAUGAAUUUGAGUCUGGUUGCCGACUGCUCCUCCUGCUUGCUCAGUCCAAGACACACGUGAUUUUGCCAGUGUGGAAAGAUGACCAAGUACUCAAACAGGAACAGGACAAACAGAAGUUCUCAAAGAGAAGAGUUUUUGGGGACCGCCAUUUACAGCCCGGCACUUGCUACAGACUUCCUCAUCUUCAUGUGCUGGAGGUCUGCCGGCCUCCUGCUUUGGAAACGUUGAGGAGAGACUCUGAUAUUCUUGGUCUCAGAGGAAACAAAAGCCAUGUUCGUUAAAUAUGCGAGCACAGUGUUCAUGGAGGUGAACUGAAGACUAGAUGUUUCGAGACCCUUGGUGUCUCCGGAGACUCAGUAGGUAAGGGUGCUUGCUACCAAGUCUGAAGACCUGAAUUGAGUCCCCACAACCCACGUGGUGGAAGGAGAGAACCAAUUUCCACACGUUGUCUUUCGACCUCCACGUGUAUACUGUGGCACACACAUCAGCCUCGUUCUCCCACAAUAAACAGAAACGAAUAUAAAAACAAAACUUAUGGGACUCUCUGAUGCCGGAUGUGUGGGCCUGUUCUGGUUUGAGCAGUAAUCCCUCUUUGUGGCAGAAAGCGACUCAUGUUUCUGAAUCAGCCUUUUAUCUUUUAUUCAUACCCUGUGAUGUGAGGGAGCUCAGCCGAGAGCAGGGCCCUGAAUGUGUUUGAGCAGAGAAAUGAGCCCAGAGCUUAGAGUGAGAAUGCCAUAGGAUUGGGGAUGGCUCAGUGGGUCAAGUGCUUGCUGUUUGAGCACAAGGCCCCGGGUUCAAACCCCAGCAGCCCCUCGAGAGAUUCAAAUCACAGUGCUAGGAGCUGGAGACUGCCUGAUUCCAUGGCUCACUGGGAGCCAGCCUAACUCAAAGGGAAAGGUCCAGGCUCCCUGACACACCCUGCCUCAGAACAAAUAAACGGAGAAACAACACAGAAGGGCUGGAGAGAUGGCUCAGCGGUUAAGAGCCCUAA